rnacentral:rRNA from 1 species
UACGGAGGGGGCUAGCGUUGUUCGGAAUUACUGGGCGUAAAGCGCACGUAGGCGGCUUUGUAAGUUAGAGGUGAAAGCCUGGGGCUCAACUCCGGAAUUGCCUUUAAGACUGCAUCGCUCGAAUUGUGGAGAGGUAAGUGGAAUCCCGAGUGUAGAGGUGAAAUUCGUAGAUAUUCGGAAGAACACCAGUGGCGAAGGCGACUUACUGGACACAUAUUGACGCUGAGGUGCGAAAGCGUGGGGAGCAAACAGG